ensembl:lncRNA
UAUAAAGCCCGUGCCCAACAGUAAGGAUCUCCUGCAAGUGGUCCUUAAGAGCAUUCCGAAGAGUCGGCGUUACAGUCGCUUCGACUGGUCCACAGCCAGCCGGAAGAGGCUCCGUGUGGCGCUCACCAUCCCUUUCGUCUACCGCCUUUACAGAGCAAAACGCAGCCUGCAGCAGAAAGCCAGUCAGAGGAGGUUCACCCAGGAGCUCCUGGAUCGCUACCGGCAGGCUCUGGAGACAGCUGUGCAGAUCUCCUGCAGAUACAACAUCCCCCCUCUGUCCGGACGUACGCUGAUCAUCUUCACGAACCGCUGGGGGAGAUGGCCACACUUGAAGCCUGUAUACGACUUCUGUCUGCCUCCAGACAUUUCAGACAGUACGGAGAACACCAGUCGUCCACCGUUGUCACAGGAGGCGGGCCUACUACUGGCCAUGAUGAUCACCUACUGCUGUGAACAUUCACAGUUACUGUUGUCGGACAGCACAGGCAUGCAUGAGCUUCAGCUCCAGCCCGAUGCGCUUUUGAAUAAUGUGAAACAUGGAGUGAAGCUGUUGCAGGUGAGGC